GACGAACGCUGGCGGCGUGCUUAACACAUGCAAGUCGAACGGAAGGGCCCUGCUUUUGUGGGGUGCUCGAGUGGCGAACGGGUGAGUAACACGUGAGUAACCUGCCCUUGACUUUGGGAUAACUUCAGGAAACUGGGGCUAAUACCGGAUAGGAGCUCCUGCUGCAUGGUGGGGGUUGGAAAGUUUCGGCGGUUGGGGAUGGACUCGCGGCUUAUCAGCUUGUUGGUGGGGUAGUGGCUUACCAAGGCUUUGACGGGUAGCCGGCCUGAGAGGGUGACCGGCCACAUUGGGACUGAGAUACGGCCCAGACUCCUACGGGAGGCAGCAGUGGGGAAUAUUGCACAAUGGGCGGAAGCCUGAUGCAGCAACGCCGCGUGCGGGAUGACGGCCUUCGGGUUGUAAACCGCUUUCACCUGUGACGAAGCGUGAGUGACGGUAAUGGGUAAAGAAGCACCGGCUAACUACGUG
rnacentral:rRNA from 1 species